GACGAACGCUGGCGGCGUGCUUAACACAUGCAAGUCGAACGGAAAGGCCCUGCUUUUGUGGGGUGCUCGAGUGGCGAACGGGUGAGUAACACGUGAGUAACCUGCCCUUGACUUUGGGAUAACUUCAGGAAACUGGGGCUAUUACCGGAUAGGAGCUCUUGCUGCAUGGUGGGGGUUGGAAAGUUUCGGCGGUUGGGGAUGGACUCGCGGCUUAUCGGCUUGUUGGUGGGGUAGUGGCUUACCAAGGCUUUGACGGGUAGCCGGCCUGAGAGGGUGACCGGCCACGUUGGGACUGAGAUACGGCCCAGACUCCUACGGGAGGCAGCAGUGGGGAAUAUUGCACAGUGGGCGGGAGCCUGAUGCAGCAACGCCGCGUGCGGGAUGACGGCCUUCGGGUUGUGAACCGCUUUCGCCUGUGACGAGGCGUGAGUGACGGUAAUGGGUAAAGAAGCACCGGCUAACUACGUG
rnacentral:rRNA from 1 species